rnacentral:snoRNA from 1 species
AUCCCAUAAUGAGGACAUUUUAGGAUAUAAUCUUGAAAAUGCUCCUAGGCUUCUUGGACUGACUCAUCCUUUUGUUGCUAAAAACAUGAAAUUUUCCCACGCAAAGCAU